rnacentral:tRNA from 1 species
GGACGAUUAGCUCAGUUGGUAGAGCAGUAGACUCUUAAUCUAUUGGUCUGGGGUUCGAGUCCCCAAUCGUCUACCA